UUGAAUGAUCAACAGAUGAUACUUUGAGUAGGAAUGUUCCC
rnacentral:snoRNA from 14 species